AUCGAUAUGUUUAUGGGAACUUUGGUUUAGACGACAACAAAGAUUAUAAUUCAUCUAAAAUGUAAACAUUUCCGGAAAUGUUGUCGAAUGUUGGACUAGUGAAAUAAAAAGUGUGAUAAGUGACACAGCGCAAAUUAAUGUAAUGGACUUUCAUUCAAACCUACAUAUUUACAUACAAUAUAAAGCGUGGUCUAAGAGGAAGGCAAUUCCCAAAUAAAACCUGAAGGCACGGACUAAUAAUAACCAAAAGACCAAGUCUUCCAAGUCAUCGGUCGCAAAAAUCCCCCUACAUGCUGGCAGUAAGGUUUAUGUAUCUAAGUAUGAUUUGGCUAAAAUAUUUAUACCCAACGCUUGUAUCUACACUUCGCGUUUAAGUGAAUUGGUAUUUGGAUUUGAUGUUUUGGAGAAUAUAGCGCGUUCAAAUGCAAAACAACGACUGCUGAUGCUCGAUGAGAGCUUACUCAAGUCGAUCAUAACUCACGUCGUACAGGUAUUUUCAAUGAGAGGGGAAUGCAUAGAUGAGAAUACAGUGCUAUCGUUCAUACAACACAAGAUCAGGAGCAUGUCGAAUGUGGCAUCAUCAGCCUCAAGUCGUUAAUAUUCCAAAACUAAUUGGACAUUUGAACACAGUCAACAGUCAUUUAAGUUAAAAAAUUUCCAUUUAUAACUACGUGUUGCAAUUUUCAAUAUUAAAUAAAAAAGUAAUAAAAUAUGUAAUACCACAAAUCA